rnacentral:rRNA from 1 species
GAAACCGGGCGAUCUAGCCAUGGCCAGGUUGAAGGUUGGGUAACACCAACUGGAGGACCGAACCCACAUCCGUUGAAAAGGAUCGGGAUGAGCUGUGCCUAGGGGUGAAAGGCCAAUCAAACUCGGAGAUAGCUGGUUCUCUGCGAAAUCUAUUUAGGUAGAGCGUCAUCCGAAUACCCCCGGGGGUAGAGCACUGGAUGGGUAAUGGGGCCCC